UACUGCAUGCAUCGACAUAUCGAUACAUACCUUGAUAAAAUCUAACAAGAUAAUAUCUUGUUAGAUUUUAUCAAGGUAUGUAUCGAUAUGUCGAUGCAUGCAGU